CGGCCGCCUGAGGAGGAGGCGCUGCACCCCGGGCCACGCCGAUGACUACUGCAAACUGUGGCGCCCACGACGAGCUCGACUUUAAACUCGUCUUCGGCGAGGACGGGGCACCAACGCCGGUGUCCCAGGUCUCGCGGCCUGCAGAUCUUGAACCAGAUGAUUGUGCAUCCAUUUACAUCUUUAAUGUAGACCCGCCUCCAUCUACUUUAAAUUCAUCACUUGGCUUACCACAUCAUGGACUGCUGCAGUCUCACUCUUCUGUUUUGUCACCAUCAUUUCAGCUCCAAGGUUUCAAAAAUUAUGAAGGAACUGAUGAUAUUUCUGAAUCUAAAUAUAGCUCAUUAAGUGGUCCUAAACCCUUUGAAUGCCCAAGUAUUCAAAUUACAUCCAUCUCUCCUAACUGUCAUCAAGAAACAGAUGCUCAUGAAGAUGACCUACAUGUAAAUGACCCAGAAAGGGAAUAUUUGGAAAGGCCUUCUAGAGAUCAUCUCUAUCUCCCACUUGAACCGUCCUACCGGGAAUCUUCCCUUAGUCCUAGUCCUGCCAGCAGCGUUUCUUCUAGGAGUUGGUUCUCAGAUGCAUCUUCUUGUGAGUCUCUCUCACACAUUUAUGACGAUGUGGACUCAGAGUUGAAUGAAGCUGCUGCACGAUUUACUCUUGGCUCACCUCUGACUUCUCCAGGUGGCUCUCCAGGAGGUUGCCCUGGAGAAGAGUCCUGGCAUCAACAGUAUGGACCUGGACAUUCCUUGUCACCUAGGCAAUCUCCUUGCCACUCUCCUAGAUCCAGUAUCACUGAUGAGAAUUGGCUGAGCCCCAGACCAGCCUCAGGACCCUCAUCCAGGCCCACUUCUCCUUGUGGUAAACGACGGCACUCCAGUGCUGAAGUAUGUUAUGCUGGCUCUCUUUCACCCCAUCACUCACCUGUUCCGUCCCCUGGUCACUCGCCUAGAGGGAGUGUAACUGAAGAUACCUGGCUCACUGCUCCUGUCCACACUGGAUCAGGCCUCAGCCCUGCACCGUUUCCAUUUCAGUACUGUGUAGAGACUGACAUCCCUUUGAAAACAAGGAAGACUUCUGACGAUCAAGCUGCCAUACUACCAGGAAAAUUAGAGGUCUGUUCAGAUGAUCAAGGGAGCUUAUCCCCAUCCCGGGAGACAUCAGUAGAUGAUGGCCUUGGAUCUCAGUAUCCUUUAAAGAAAGAUUCAUCUGGUGACCAAUUUCUUUCAGUUCCUUCACCUUUUACCUGGAGCAAACCAAAGCCUGGCCACACUCCUAUAUUUCGCACAUCUUCAUUACCUCCAUUAGACUGGCCUUUACCAACUCACUUUGGACAAUGUGAAUUGAAAAUAGAAGUGCAACCUAAAACUCACCAUAGAGCCCAUUAUGAAACUGAAGGUAGCCGAGGGGCAGUGAAAGCCUCUACUGGUGGCCAUCCUGUUGUGAAGGUAUGAGACUUGGGAGCUUUUCCCUAUAAAUAUAUACAUGUUAAUGAUUGAAUAAGUAUAUUGAUUUAGCUAAAAGAAAUAAGACUCAAAUUUGGAGAGCCUCU
rnacentral:lncRNA from 1 species